rnacentral:misc_RNA from 1 species
AAGUCGUAACAAGGUUUCCGUAGGUGAACCUGCGGAAGGAUCAUUACCGAGUUCAUGCCCUCUCACGGGUAGAUCUCCCACCCUUUGUAUACUAUACCUUUGUUGCUUUGGCGGGCCGCCUAGCUACUGGCUUCGGCUGGUAAGUGCCCGCCAGAGGACCCAAAACCCUGAAUAUUAGUGUCGUCUGAGUAAAAUUUUAAUAUUUAAAACUUUCAACAACGGAUCUCUUGGCUCUG